rnacentral:rRNA from 1 species
AUUGAACGCUGGCGGCAGGCCUAACACAUGCAAGUCGAGCGAGUGGCGGACGGGUGAGUAAUGUAUGGGGACUGCCCGAUAGAGGGGGAUAACUACUGGAAACGGUGGCUAAUACCGCAUACUAUCGGAUAACCCAUAUGGGAUUAGCUAGUAGGUGGGGUAAAGGCUCACCUAGGCGACGAUCUCUAGCUGGUCUGAGAGGAUGAUCAGCCACACUGGGAAUGAGACACGGCCCCGACUCCUACGGAGGCAGCAGUGGGGAAUAUUGGACAAUGGGCGAAAGUCUGACGGAGCCAUGCCGCGUGUAUGAAGAAGGCCUUAGGGUUGUAAAGUACUGUCAGCAGGGAGGCGUUACCCGAAGAAAAAGCACCGGCUAACUACGUGCCAGCAGCCGCGGUAAUAC